rnacentral:rRNA from 1 species
CGUGCAAAGGUAGCAUAAUCAUUUGUUCCUUAAUUAGGGACUGGAAUGAACGGCUUGACGAGGGUUUAACUGUCUCUUAUUUCCAAUCAGUGAAAUUGACCUUCCCGUGAAGAGGCGGGAAUUAUAAAAUAAGACGAGAAGACCCUAUGGAGCUUUAAUUUACUAGCUUAAUUCCAACAACAAACAACCUAAUGGCACAACACACMAAAMUAUAAWCUAGUAAUUUUGGUKGGGGUGACYUCGGAGCAUAAAAAAACCUCCGAAUGAUUUUAACUAAGACWCACAAGUCUAAGUAACUAUACAUCUUAUUGACCCAAAAAUUUUUGAUCAACGGACCAAGUUACCCUAGGGAUAACAGCGCAAUCCUAUUCAAGAGUCCAUAUCGACAAUUAGGGUUUACA